rnacentral:tRNA from 1 species
GCUCCCGUAGCUCAGUUGGAUAGAGCAACGGCCUUCUAAGCCGUAGGUCGCAGGUUCGAAUCCUGCCGGGGGUACCA